GUUGUGCUGCUAGAUUUAAACAGAGUCUCAAGCUAUUGCUGUGAUUGAUCUUCCAUUUUCUGGCCUGAAAGACAUUCAGGGAAAGAGGAAGAGAUGGUAGUUUUUUGGAAAAGAUGCAAGAAUAUUCCACCAAAGGGCAGCAUAUCUUGCAUGGGAGUAAACAAAGUAAUACAACAGUAAAAAUCUCUGAGGGCAAAGAUAGUCAUAAUGCUAGACUAUCUCAAGAAUGUGAAGUAUACAACAAAUCAUUCACUUAUCCUAUUCAUCUUCAAAAACAUGAAAGAACUCACAGUGGAGAGAAACCCUAUGAAUGUAAACAAUGUACUAAAACAUUCAGUCAAGCUGGUCAUCUUCGGGCACAUGAAAGAACUCACAGUGGGAAGAAACCCUAUGAAUGUAAACAGUGUAGUAAAACAUUCAGUUGUUCCAGUCAUCUUCAGAGACAUGAAAGCAUUCACAGUGGAGAGAAACCCUAUGAAUGUAAACAAUGUAGUAAAACAUUCAGUUGUUCCAGUCA